rnacentral:tRNA from 4 species
GCCAGAGUGGUGAAAUGGUAGACACAGCAGACUCAAAAUCUGCCGAGGGCAACCUCAUGCCGGUUCGAGUCCGGCCUCUGGUACCA